UGCAUGAUUAACACCUGGGAACGUGCCUUUAGGUUCGGAAUAACUCAGGGAAACUUGUGCUAAUACCGAAUGUGCCCUUCGGGGGAAAGAUUUAUCGCCUUUAGAGCGGCCCGCGUCUGAUUAGCUAGUUGGUGAGGUAAAGGCUCACCAAGGCGACGAUCAGUAGCUGGUCUGAGAGGAUGAUCAGCCACAUUGGGACUGAGACACGGCCCAAACUCCUACGGGAGGCAGCAGUGGGGAAUCUUGCGCAAUGGGCGAAAGCCUGACGCACCAUGCCGCGUGAAUGAUGAAGGUCUUAGGAUUGUAAAAUUCUUUCACCGGGGACGAUAAUGACGGUACCCGGAGAAGAACCCCGGCUAACUUCGUGCCAGCAGCCGCGGUAAUACGAANGGGGCUAGCGUUGCUCGGAAUUACUGGGCGUAAANGGAGCGUAAGCGGACAUUUAAGUCANGGGUGAAAUCCCGGGGCUCAACCUCGGAAUUGCCUUUGAUACUGGGUGUCUUGAGUAUGA
rnacentral:rRNA from 1 species